CAACAGAUGUUGUCCUACACCUAGAAAACAGAGAAGUUGUAGCAGAGUGGGAACUGAGGGUGAUAGUGCAGUAUAAGACCAGUAUCGCUAGUUGGCGCUAAUGCAACAGUCUGGAUGCCAACCAGCAUUAAAACCAUGAAGAAGAAGAUGGUUCUUCUUGCCAGAUAGUGAUCUACUCAGAGCCAUGCUGUGUCCAUGUGCCCUGUAGGCCACCAACCAAUUCAACAACUCCUAGCCAUAAUGUUCAAAAGGAAGACAAGGAUACGGCCUGCUGAUGAUGCAACGUCAUAUAUUCUUUCGUCGAGGGACAAGCCAAGGUUUAUGGAAAGAUUUAUUGAUCAUAACAAAGGAAGAGGAGUGUUUGCUGUCUGCAGCCCAUCGAACCAGAUGCUUUUGUCUUGGAGUCCAGGGGAGAAUUCGUAUCAGUGGAAGAAUGCCGGUCAAGACACUACUCAGAGACACGGAGUACAUUUCUGUUUGAGUUUGAAUGGCAGAAACGUCACUGGUGUAUCGAUGCAUCCGGAGAAGAUGGAGUGAAUGAGAAACACAAAUCUCCGAACUGCAUCAUACUAAACAGCAGGCCAGAAGCAAGAACUGAAAUCAACUUCAACGAUUGCAAUUCAAAAUGGCCAUGGUGUUAAAAGGUGACAUACAAGCGGGCUUCUGCUGUGCAGUAGAGACCGAGACGUUCCCUAAAGAUCUGAUGAUUCUCAUGAGGAUUCAAACAGAGAAGAGGCUAAUGCACAGGUAAAGGAGUAAUGUAGACACCGUCGUAACAAACUAUAUUUGUUGACCUGUACACUAUGUAGU